rnacentral:sRNA from 1 species
GGCCCAUCCAGAGGUGGCCCACGUAGCGGGACAGCGCUGUCGGCCCGGCGCGCCUCGGAGAGUCACGGCGCCUCGGCCAAGUGGAGCCCCGAACCCCUGAAGGCGCGGCAGGCUCUGGAGAGCGGGGUCUUGUGCGCCUGGGCCAGUAAUUGACCUGCUGACUGUGGGCGAGUCUCGGCAGAUGGUAGCUGUGGCAGAGAAGAUCCGGACAGCCUUGCUCACUGCUGGGGACAUCUACCUCUUAUCCACCUUCCGCCUGCCCCCCAAGCAGGGUGGUGUCCUCUUUGGCCUCUAUUCUCGCCAAGACAACACUCGAUGGCUGGAGGCCUCUGUUGUAGGCAAGAUCAACAAAGUACUGGUGCGAUACCAGCGGGAGGAUGGCAAAGUCCACGCCGUGAACCUACAGCAAGCGGGCCUGGCUGAUGGGCGCACACACACAGUUCUCCUGCGACUCCGAGGUCCCUCCAGACCCAGCCCUGCCCUACAUCUCUACGUGGACUGCAAACUGGGUGACCAACAUGCAGGCCUUCCAGCACUGGCCCCCAUUCCUCCAGCGGAGGUCGAUGGGCUGGAGAUUAGGACUGGACAGAAGGCGUAUUUGAGGAUGCAGGGCUUUGUGGAAUCUAUGAAAAUUAUUCUGGGUGGGUCCAUGGCCCGGGUAGGAGCCCUGAGUGAGUGUCCAUUCCAAGGGGACGAGUCCAUCCACAGUGCAGUGACCAAUGCACUGCACUCCAUUCUAGGGGAGCAGACCAAGGCGCUGGUCACCCAACUCACCCUCUUCAACCAGAUCCUGGUGGAGCUGCGGGAUGAUAUACGAGACCAGGUGAAGGAAAUGUCCCUGAUCCGAAACACCAUUAUGGAGUGUCAGGCUUCCAUGAGCAGCGUUCCCACUGCAGCCCCAAUCCCUGCUUCCGAGGUGUGGACUGCAUGGAAGUGUACGAGUACCCAGGCUACCGCUGUGGGCCCUGCCCCCCUGGCCUGCAGGGCAACGGCACCCACUGCAGUGACAUCAAUGAGUGUGCUCACGCUGACCCCUGUUUCCCGGGCUCCAGCUGCAUCAACACCAUGCCCGGCUUCCACUGUGAGGCCUGUCCUCGAGGGUACAAGGGCACACAGGUGUCUGGUGUGGGCAUUGACUAUGCCCGGGCCAGCAAACAGGUCUGCAAUGACAUCGAUGAAUGCAACGAUGGCAACAAUGGUGGCUGUGACCCAAACUCCAUCUGCACCAACACUGUGGGCUCUUUCAAGUGUGGUCCCUGCCGCCUGGGUUUCCUGGGCAACCAGAGCCAGGGCUGCCUCCCAGCCCGGACCUGCCACAGCCCAGCCCACAGCCCCUGCCACAUCCAUGCUCACUGUCUCUUUGAACGCAAUGGUGCAGUGUCCUGCCAGUGUAACGUGGGCUGGGCUGGGAAUGGGAACGUGUGUGGGACUGACACAGACAUCGAUGGCUACCCAGACCAAGCACUGCCCUGCAUGGACAACAACAAACACUGCAAACAGGACAACUGCCUUUUGACACCCAACUCUGGGCAGGAAGAUGCUGAUAAUGAUGGUGUGGGGGACCAGUGUGAUGAUGAUGCUGAUGGGGAUGGGAUCAAGAAUGUUGAGGACAACUGCCGGCUGUUCCCCAACAAAGACCAGCAGAACUCAGAUACAGAUUCAUUUGGUGAUGCCUGUGACAAUUGCCCCAACGUUCCCAACAAUGACCAGAAGGACACAGAUGGCAAUGGGGAAGGAGAUGCCUGUGACAACGACGUGGAUGG